CAGCAGCACCUUUAUAUCGAGCAAGAAGGACACAGAGACAGACAGCAGCUGCUCCACUCAUUAAUAAUCGAAAAUACAACCUUUUCUGGUUAUCGCAACGAUGUGCCGACUGACUGUCUUCAUUGUGGCUGUCUGUGCAUUGAUGGGGGGUCUCUCAGUGUGCUGCCCCCAAAGAAGAUACCAUGUCAUCAAAAAUACAAAGACCUGGGACGAAGCUCGCCAACACUGUCAAAGUAAUUACAUUGAUCUGGUUAGUGUUUCCAGUGAAACAGAAAUGCUGGCAGUCAAGGCACUAAUUUCCCGGACCACAGAUUACACGUUUUGGAUGGCUCUGCACAGAAACACAGCAAGCUCGCCUUGGGAAUGGUCAAACGGUGCGGCCUUUCAAUACAGCAAAUGGACGAGUUGGGAACCAGAUUCUAAUGGAGAUUGUGGAGCCAUGAUUCCCAGCGGAGAGUGGAUAGGCGAACGUUGUACUGAGGCUCACUGCUUGGUCUGUUUGGCAGGUAAGGAGAAUUGCAUUCUGAGAAGAGUUCAUGUGGAUGUUUAUAAUCAAUCGAUUGAUCUGCCUGUUGCAUCAUCUCUGUUAUU